GUGUAACAAGACAGCUGCCAAAACGCACAACUUGUGACUCUCCAUUGAGAAGUCCACAUCUGGCCUUUUAAAGAGGGGCUCCGGUGAGGAGCUUGCACCUACGCUUUUCUGACGGCCUUUCUAUUAACACCACCUCUGCUUCACGGGCUGCUCUUGUCAAUCAUUUCAACAUCAGUGCCAGGAAAUACGGGUUUGCCAGAAUUGAAGUUCCCCCAAAAGAUCGAGGCUCCUCCUCCGGCUGCCGCAGGCUACUGCUUAAAGAGCUGUCACUGCCCCAGUCCCUGCUGUCAGCCCGGCGGUGUGGGGAACGGGAGGACUUUCCAAGUAACCCCUGAAAAGCAUCACACGGCGGGAACCAGAAGCCUCAGUCCCAUCCUUGGGCAGUGACUUUGGGGGAAUAAGUAAUCUCUGUCUCUCGAGUACGAACUGUGCCGAUCUCAGGUCUGAGGAUUGGCUGGCCCGUGUGGAACACUGGGAAAGGCGUCCUACGGCCGGCUAGGCAGCCGCCCCCUUGGAUGCUGUGGUUGUAAGGUGGGUGACCGACCAACUUCACU
rnacentral:lncRNA from 1 species